CCUAAACACAAAUAAUUAUAUUAACAAAAUUAUUCGCCAGAGUACUACCGGCAACAGCCUAAAACUCAAAGGACUUGGCGGUGCUUUAUAUCCCUCUAGAGGAGCCUGUUCUAUAAUCGAUAAACCCCGAUAGACCUCACCAAUUCUUGCUAAUGCAGUCUAUAUACCGCCAUCUUCAGCGAACCCUAAAAAGGUACAAAAGUAAGCGCAAUCACAACGCAUAAAAACGUUAGGUCAAGGUGUAACCUAUGAAAUGGGAAGAAAUGGGCUACAUUUUCUACACCAAGAACACCCAACACGAAAGUUAUUAUGAAAAUUAAUAACCAAAGGAGGAUUUAGCAGUAAACUAAGAAUAGAGUGCUUAGUUGAACUAGGCCAUGAAGCACGCACACACCGCCCGUCACCCUCA
rnacentral:rRNA from 1 species